rnacentral:rRNA from 1 species
CAUUCACGGAGAGUUUGAUCCUGGCUCAGGACGAACGCUGGCGGCGUGCUUAACACAUGCAAGUCGAACGAUGAACCACUUCGGUGGGGAUUAGUGGCGAACGGGUGAGUAACACGUGGGCAAUCUGCCCUUCACUCUGGGACAAGCCCUGGAAACGGGGUCUAAUACCGGAUACGAGCCUCCAAGGCAUCUUGGAGGCUGGAAAGCUCCGGCGGUGAAGGAUGAGCCCGCGGCCUAUCAGCUUGUUGGUGAGGUAAUGGCUCACCAAGGCGACGACGGGUAGCCGGCCUGAGAGGGCGACCGGCCACACUGGGACUGAGACACGGCCCAGACUCCUACGGGAGGCAGCAGUGGGGAAUAUUGCACAAUGGGCGAAAGCCUGAUGCAGCGACGCCGCGUGAGGGAUGACGGCCUUCGGGUUGUAAACCUCUUUCAGCAGGGAAGAAGCGAAAGUGACGGUACCUGCAGAAGAAGCGCCGGCUAACUACGUGCCAGCAGCCGCGGUAAUACGUAGGGCGCAAGCGUUGUCCGGAAUUAUUGGGCGUAAAGAGCUCGUAGGCGGCUUGUCACGUCGAUUGUGAAAGCCCGAGGCUUAACCUCGGGUCUGCAGCCGAUACGGGCUAGCUAGAGUGUGGUAGGGGAGAUCGGAAUUCCUGGUGUAGCGGUGAAAUGCGCAGAUAUCAGGAGGAACACCGGUGGCGAAGGCGGAUCUCUGGGCCAUUACUGACGCUGAGGAGCGAAAGCGUGGGGAGCGAACAGGAUUAGAUACCCUGGUAGUCCACGCCGUAAACGGUGGGAACUAGGUGUUGGCGACAUUCCACGUCGUCGGUGCCGCAGCUAACGCAUUAAGUUCCCCGCCUGGGGAGUACGGCCGCAAGGCUAAA